rnacentral:pre_miRNA from 1 species
UCAUGAGUUACCUGGGCAUCUUGUUAAAAUGCAGAUUCUGAUUCAGUAGGCGUGAAGUGGGGUCUGAGAGUCUGUAUUUCUAACAAUUUCCUAGGUGAUACUUCU